CAGUCGCCGCGGGAAUACGUAGGGUGCGAGCGUUAAUCGGAAUUACUGGGCGUAAAGCGUGCGCAGGCGGUUUUGUAAGACAGGCGUGAAAUCCCCGGGCUCAACCUGGGAAUGGCGCUUGUGACUGCAAAGCUAGAGUGCGGCAGAGGGGGAUGGAAUUCCGCGUGUAGCAGUGAAAUGCGUAGAUAUGCGGAGGAACACCGAUGGCGAAGGCAAUCCCCUGGGCCUGCACUGACGCUCAUGCACGAAAGCGUGGGGAACAAACAGGAUUAGAUACCCCCGUAGUCCCUGUCUCUUAUAC
rnacentral:rRNA from 1 species